GCUAACCCUCUUGUUCUGAUUGACGAGAUUGACAAGUUGGGAAGAGGACAUACUGGUGAUCCAGCAAGUGCUUUAUUGGAGCUUCUUGAUCCAGAGCAAAAUGCUAAUUUUCUGGACCAUUACCUUGAUGUUCCAAUUGACCUAUCAAAGGUUCUAUUUGUAUGCACAGCAAAUGUUGUGGACAUGAUACCUAAUCCUCUGUUGGACAGAAUGGAGGUAAUUGCUAUUGCUGGG
rnacentral:misc_RNA from 1 species